rnacentral:rRNA from 1 species
GAUCCUGGCUUAGAACGAACGCUGGCGGCAUGGAUUAGGCAUGCAAGUCGAACGAAGCAGCAAUGCUUAGUGGCGCAAGGGUGAGGAACACGUGAGUGACCUACCCGCAAGUUUGGAACAGCUCCUGGAAACGGGAAUUAAUACCGGAUGUGAUCAUGAAGCUGCAUGGUUUCAUGAUUAAAGCAGCAAUGCGCUUGCGGAUGGGCUCGCGUCCCAUUAGCUAGUUGGUGAGGUAACGGCCCACCAAGGCCAUGAUGGGUAGCUGGUCUGAGAGGACGACCAGCCACACUGGGACUGAGAACUGCCCAGACUCCUACGGGAGGCUGCAGUCGAGAAUUUUGGGCAAUGGACGAAAGUCUUGACCCAGCAAUGCCGCGUGCGGGAUGAAGGUCUUCGGAUUGUAAACCGCUGUUUGGAGGGACGAAAAUUGACGGUACUUCCAGAGGAAGCCACGGCUAACUACGUGCCAGCCGCCGC